CUUUCUUUGCUGGCGACCGGCGCACGGGUGAGUAACACGUAUCCAACCUGCCCUUUACUCGGGGAUAGCCUUUCGAAAGAAAGAUUAGUACCCGAUAGCAUAAUGAUUCCGCAUGGUUUCAUUAUUAAAGGAUUCCGGUAAAGGAUGGGGAUGCGUUCCAUUAGGUUGUUGGUGAGGUAACGGCCCACCAAGCCUUCGAUGGAUAGGGGUUCUGAGAGGAAGGUCCCCCACAUUGGAACUGAGACACGGUCCAA
rnacentral:rRNA from 1 species